rnacentral:rRNA from 1 species
GGAAAGAUGAAAAGAACUUUGAAAAGAGAGUCAAAUAGUACGUGAAAUUGUUGAAAGGGAAACGAUUGAAGUCAGUCAUGCCAGUGGGAAUCAACUUAGAGGAAACUCUAGGUGCACUUCUUCGCUUGGCAGGUUAGUGUCGAUUUUGGAUGUCAUAAAAUGACUGGGGGAAGGUAGCUCCUUUGGGAGUGUUAUAGCCCUUGGUAGAUGUGAUGUCUGGAAUCGAGGAUUGCAACGGAUACCCUUUAGGGCUAGUCACCUGAUCUCUAAUUAGUGCUAGAUUACGGACAGCAUGCUGACCGUGAUUUAAUUAUUGGUUAAAAGGUUAGAGUGCACAUAAAUUCGUUAAGGACACUGACGUAAUGGCUUUAAACGACCCGUCUUGAAACACGGACCA